GGAGUCAAGCUGAUGUGGUGUGCAGAUUCUUGCACAGUGAAAGAGCAGAAAAAAUGUAAGGCAACAACUUUUUUUUUUUUUUUUUUUUGAAAAUGGGCAGCUGAUAAUUAUUUGCACAGAUAGUAAGAUAGUAUACAAACAUACUUUUUUCAUACUUUUUUUUUUUUUUUUUUCUUAUGAACAACAGCUAUUUGCUCUUGCUAAUUCUUCAAACUAACUGCACUAACUUCUAGGUAAGGCUUCUAGCAAAACAAUGUUCUCCUCAAAUUCAAGAGAUUUGAAUAGAGUAACUCAGCAAUGAUCUCAUCAGUCUUCUUCUUUUUGCACCUGUCUUUUUCAGAGAAAUGAGACCUUCGCAUCAUUAUCCAGGAAGAUGAGCCAUGCAUUGCAAACAAAUAGCGGUGCAAGCUUGGAAGUGUAAAGGGAUUUUCUAACAGUUCAAAUCCUGAGUGAAGAUCUUACUGAACUUCAUAGAGUGACAUAUCCUGCUGCCAGAACAUACAUCGACAAAACCUGGAUACCAACCAAACUGUUAAAAAUCCCUACAUUUAAUGCGAGAAAAUUCUACCAUCCUGACCUUCGGAUAAACAAAGGGCAGCUUGACAGGAUAAUUAAUGCUGCUUAUUAUCAGACAAGCCUUCAGCUACAGACCAUCUUCAGCUUUAUUUACCACAACCUUGCUGUUAUCACAGAAUGCUGCUCCUGCCAGUAAGUGUUUUUUGUUUGUUUGUUUGUUUGUUUUUUGUCUGCAUUAUGCAGAUAUUAACCAACUCUCACAAUGUACUCAAUGUUAAAUCAAUGGUUAACUGAAAUUAUGCUCCAUAACAACAUGAAACUCUUAAACUU
rnacentral:lncRNA from 1 species